CGCCUUUGUAGACUGUGCUGCGUGGCCACGAAACGCAAGCAGAUGAGGGCCGGCCAUUUAUCAUCUACUGCUGUGUGGUAUGCUGCUGCUAUUGGACCAGGCAAGGCAUCUGGAAGUCUUAGAAAUCUGAAGGUUUUAUUCGUUUCCUUCUUCUGCUGCAACUGCAAGCCGGGGAAUUUUCCUCUUGAUCGCUGUUGAAUGAAGUGAUCCUGUAGAUGCAGGAAAUGGUGUAGCAGCAGCAAUCAUAUUCUCUAUUCUCUGUUUUCCUUUUAGUCUGGUGAGAUUUUAAAAAUAGCAAUUGGGUAACCAUUGGAGCCAAUUGCGUCUUCAAGAUGAGAACUAUUGGUUCUUACUAUCAGCGGGGUUUUCCAUGUUGGGAGAGUGGUUUGUAAGCCUUCAGUUUCCGUUCACUGAAACAAAUCACCUGGGUGUUUUUGGUGGAUCUCCCUUACCGAGUUUGUCUGAUCCAUGGCGGCCAUACUUGAAUCUUUGCUUGGAUCAUGUGCCAGUAAAUUGCAAAAUAUCAUUACAGAUGAGGCCAUACUAAUCCUUGGGGUGGAAGAAGAUCUCAGAGAAGUCCUGCAGCGAGUAGAACUAAUACAAUGUUGCAGAUAUGAUGCUGAGAAAAGGAGGACAAAAGAGCUAGCAGUAAACAAUUGGCUCGGCCAACUGAGAGAUGUUAUAUAUGAUGUUGAUGAAAUCCUGGACGUGGCUAGGUGUAAAGGAAGCAAGCUCCUGCCUGAUGAUCCUUCAUCAUCAUCAAGCAAUGCGGCUGCAUGUAAAGGCCUCUCAGUUUCCUCUUGCUUUUGUAACAUCUGGUCACGCCGUGAUGUUGCUGUUUGGAUUAGAAGCCUCAAUAAAAAAAAUAGAAUACAUUUUAAAGGACACGGUAAUCUUAACACUCAACACUGGUAUGCAGCCUACCAAAAAUGGUCCAACAUCCAAACUGAUAAGAAGCUGCAACCUUGUUGAGCCCAACCUUGUGGGGAAGGAGAUCAUAUAUUCUAGCAAGAACCUAGUGGACUUAGUUGUUGCACAUAAGGAAAGUAAGUCUUACAAGCUUGCUAUUGUUGGAAUAGGAGGAGUUGGUAAGACAACACUAGCUCAGAAAAUAUACAAUAACCAAAAAAUUAAAGGAAGCUUCAAGGUGCAAGCAUGGAUUUGUGUUUCAUAAGACUACAAUGAAGUAACUCUUCUUAAAGAGGUUCUCCGGAAUAUUGGUGUGCAUCAUGAGCAAGGUGAAACCAUAACAGAGCUCCAGAGGAAGCUUGCAGAAACAAUUGAAGGGAAGAGUUUCUUUCUGGUUCUAGAUGAUGUCUGGCAUUCCAAUGUAUGGAUGGAUCUAUUAAGGCCUGCAUUACAUGAAAUAACAUCCGGAGUAAUAUUGGUAACCACACGAGAUGAUCAAAUUUCAAGGAGAAUAGGUGUAGAGCAUACCCAUCGAGUUGAUCUCAUGUCAGUCGAGGUGGGAUGGGAGCUACUUUGGAAGAGCAUGAAUAUUGAGGAAGAGAAAGAAGUGCAGAAUUUAAGAAACAUAGGGAUUGAGAUUGUUCGUAAAUGUGGUCACCUCCCUCUUGCAAUCAAGGUUACCGCUAGUGCUUUGGCAAGCAGAGAUCUGACGGAGAAUGAGUGGAAAAAGUAUUUGGGCAAAUAUGCUGGUUCCCAUAGCAUGCUCUCUGAUGAAAUAGGAGGAGCUCUGUAUCUAAGCUAUGAUGAGUUGUCGCAUCGGUUGAAACAAUGUUUCCUUUAUUGUGCUUUGUAUACUGAAGAUUCUAUCAUUGAGGGUGACGAAGUUACCAGGUUAUGGAUUUCUGAAGGCUUCAUCGAGGAGCAGCAAGGCCAAUUACUAGAAGACAUAGCAGAAGAGUACUAUCACGAGCUAAUCCACCGGAAUCUCCUCCAACCAGAUAUCUCAUAUUUUGACAUGUCUCACUGCAAAAUGCAUGACCUCUUAAGACAACUUGCACUAAACAUAUCAAGAGAAGAAUGUUUUAUUGGAGAUGUUGAAAUAUUAAGGGGUGAAAAGAUGUCAAAACUGCGACGUGUUACUGUUGUUACUAAGAAGGAUAUGUUGGUGUUAUCUAGAGUGGAUAAGGUGGAUGUUAAGGUCAGGACUUUCCUAACUGUUAAGGGUCCACGGAGAAUUGAGGAUACAUUGUUCAAGAGAUUUCUGCUUCUUCGUGUUUUGGUACCAAAUUACACACUUGUGCGAAGCAUUCCAGACUACAUAGGGAAAUUGAUACAUCUACGUCUACUUAAUCUGAAUUACACUGGCAUAUCUUAUCUUCCGGAAUCUGUUGGCUCCCUAAAGAACCUUCAAGUACUGAGCUUGAGAUGGUGUGAUGAUCUACACACUCUUCCUUCGGCAAUGACCCUGUUAAGCAGCUUAAUAUGUCUUGAUCUUUGUGGCACCGAAAUAAAUGAGGUUCCAAAAGGGAUAGGGAAACUAAAGUUCCUCACUUUUGUAGAAGAUUAUCUUAUUGGUGAUGGUGUGCGAGCGGUGAAACGUCUUGCCCUGUUGGGGGCGACGUGUUCGCGUUAUAUAGCAGGGGAGCCAAACCCUCGAUGGCUUACAUGUGUGCGGUUACAGGAGAUAAGAGAGAAUCAAGAUACAACUUGAGGGAGAAGAAAAGAGAGGAGAUAUAUCUCAUACAAACUACCUCCUAGCUAUAUCUCUAUAUCUCAACUAACAUGCCGCAUAGGUGCUAUGCUUAACACCCCCCCUUAAUCACAACUUCAUGAGGUUGAGAUUAUGUUUAAACUCUUCAAAGUUUCGGAUAGGCAAGGCUUUGGUAAACCCAUUUGCAACUUGAUCUCUGGAGUGAAUGAACUGAAUAUCAAGCUGUUUCCGUGCAACUCUUUCUCUGACAAAAUGAAAGUCAAUCUCUAUGUGCUUUGUCCUGGCAUGAAAAACUGGAUUUGCGGAUAAGUAGGUGGCACCAAGAUUAUCACACCACAAACAUGGGGUUUGAGAACUUCGAAUACCAAGUUCCUUUAGCAUUGAUUGAACCCAUAUGAUCUCAGCUGUAGCAUUUGCUAAUGCCUUGUAUUCUGCCUCUGUGCUGGACCUAGAUACUGUGGCUUGUUUUCUUGCACACCAUGAAAUCAAGUUUGGUCCAAAAAAUAUGGCAAAUCCACUAGUGGAGCGUCUGUCAUCCAGACAGCCUGCCCAAUCAGAAUCAGAGAAAGCACUAACAAGAGUUGAGGAUGACUUGCUGAAGUUGAGACCAAUGCUCAAAGUAUGUUUGACAUAUCUGACAAUACGUUUUGCAGCAGUCCAAUGAACAGUGGUGGGAGCAUGCAGAAACUGACAUACCUUGUUGACAGCAAACGAGAUAUCAGGCCUAGUUAAAGUCAAGUACUGUAAUGCACCUACCAAACUCCUGUACUUGGUACUAUCUUCUUGAGUCAAGAGUUGCCCUUCUGAGAGAGAUAGCUUUUCUGAGCUAGAUAAUGGAGUGAAAGAGGGUUUACAACCUUGCAGGCCUGCCUUUCUUACCAAAUCGGUUGCAUACUUCUCUUGAGAGAGAUGAAGUCCAUCCUUGUGUUUCUUCACCUCAAUCCCAAGGAAAAAAUGCAAAUCUCCAAGAUCCUUGAGAGCAAAUUCUGCACUUAAAUCCUUCAACAAUGAUGCAAUGGCCUCACUAGACGAACUUGUAACAAUAAUAUCAUCAACAUAGAUGAGAACAAAGAUGCAUGUAUUGAGCUUAUUGUAAAUAAACAGUGAGGUAUCUGAUUUGGAAGGAACAAAACCAAGUGAUUGCAUCUUGUGACUGAGACGGGAGAACCAUGCCCUUGGAGCCUGCUUCAAGCCAUAGAGUGCGUUAUCAAGUUUGCAAACAAACGAGGGAUUAGACUUGCUCUCAAACCCAGGAGGCUGUUUCAUAUACACCUCUUCUUCCAGAACACCAUGAAUAAACGCGUUCUGUACAUCUAGCUGUCUGAGACUCCAGCCUCUGGACACAACAAUAGACAGAACAAGGCGAAUGGUAGCAGCUUUUACAACGGGACUAAAUGUAUCCUCAUAGUCAAUACCAUAUCUUUGCUUAAAACCUUUAGCAACAAGCCUAGCCUUGUAUCUAUCAAUAGUUCCAUCAGAUUUCCUUUUAACUCUUAACACCCACUUGCAAUCUAUAAGAUUUUUACCUUUCUGUGCGGGAACUAAAUGCCAUGUUUCAUUUUUCUUCAGUGCCACAUAUUCUUCCAUCAUUGCUUUUCUCAACUUAUCAUCGCCAAAUGCCUCAUCCAAAGUUCUUGGUUCGGCAUGUUCAUCUGUGGAACAAACAAGGCCAUAUUUGCUUAGAUUUUUGUAAUUAAUGGGUUGAGUUACACCUUUUUGUAGCCGCGUGAGCCGCCUGGACUGUACUACGGAAUCAGCCGGCGCAGAAGAUCCGGAGGCAUGCACAGGAGUUCCUGGUACAGGCUAUCCCGAGGCGGAUUCAGCUGACACCCGCGCCGGAUCUUCUGUGGCUUCAGCACGCGAUGGUGAAGUUGGAUCAGUCGCAGAAGAUCCUGGCGCUCCUCCUGCCGCGCCAGCAGGCUCAUCAUGGGCCAAUGAUUGCGCGGGGCCAUGAGGAUCAACACCGAAGCCCGCGCCCUCCUAGCUGGUCGGUCGGCACCCGCACCCGCACCGGUCGGCCGCGCCUGGGCCCUGGCGCCGGUCGGCCGCACCUGGGCCCGCCGCUGGUAGCAGUGCGGUUGGUCGGGGAAUCGCGCGUCGCCCUCUCCACUGGGACGCCGCCGCGUGGCAUCGGGGGAGCCACC
rnacentral:rRNA from 1 species